GUGUCAGCCGCCGCGGUAAGACAGAAGGUGCAAGCGUUACUCGGAAUUACUGGGCGUAAAGCGUCUGUAGGUGUCCUUCCACGUCUGAUCACAAAAUGCGGGGCUCAACCCCGCAUCCUGGUUGGAAACGAGAAGGAUCGAGUCAUUCAGAGGCAUCUGGAAUGUCGUGUGUAGGGGUAAAAUCCGUAGAUACACGAUGGAACGCCGAAAGCGAAAGCAGGAUGCUGGGAAUGUACUGACACUCAGAGACGAAAGCGUGGGGAGCAAAGGGGAUUAGAAACCCUCGUAGUCC
rnacentral:rRNA from 1 species